UUUGUUUCAGCGAAUGAUUUGUAAUUUGUAAUUUGAUAAUCUAGUCGUAUGCAAUCUCUGGAGGUUGCACUAUGUCGUUUACCUUAGUUGGCGCAUCUGGGAAGCAGUUCACAUCUCUCGUGAUACGUUUCACCGCAAAUUAUACAAAGAUUUACGCCUGCUUUACAUGCUGUCUUGCGAUGGUCCAACUUCAAGCACUUAUAAUAUUGUUUUACUGGUCUGAUCGACGAACGACGCGCCGCCGAAUGCCUACCCGAAAAUCUGUUCGCCUAGUACAAAACUGGUCUUGUGCUUGAAUUCUCGAUUGACGAGCCUUCGACAGUCGAUCAGUUUCGGAUACGUCGACCAGUUCCGUUCAAUUAGCUGCGAAUCAGCUACCACUGCACCUUACAGGCUUUCGUAAACGGUGGUCAAUCCUCACUACGAAUGCGGAGAGAAAAAUAGCGGGGCGAUUACACGCGAAUGUUCAAAGUUAGCAUGGGAUCCCGUCACAAAGUUAAACGAAUGAUCAAUUGGUAUGUACUCCUAAAAGUAUCGAAACAGGCGGUCACUUUGGGAGCCUCGUCGAGGCGCGCGAGUCAAACGAGCCGAGCAGACCUUCCGCUUUUUCACGCUAUCCAGGCAUCAGCCGAGAGGAACGGCAACAUCAAUAUCCCGAUGGAACGCGGCAAACCGGUGUAAACAAGUAGAGAGCAGAGAGUGACAUGCUGAUACGUUCCUGGUAGCGUCGAAUCGCAAUGAGAUGUCGUAAACGCGAGAGGAUGACAGAAAAUCGAUAGGACCGCCUUCCAGACCUUGUCCACGACAUCCUGCGAGAUUCUUCGCCGGUUUCUUUCGUCCUGGUGGCGAGCACAACCGUAUGAUGCUGGCCUGAUAUUUUUCAGACGCCUCGUGUCUUACCGGUAUCUUCGUUCGCGUCGAUACGCGCGGCGAAAAAAUAUCGGACUGCAACAAUACCUAUCGGCGGAUCGGCGAUAUUUCUGCCGCUGAUACGAUCCUGUUACGGUGACACGUCACGGUCGUCAUGUCUCGGCGAUUUGACGUGAAAUCGAUAAACCCCCUACGGGGACUCCAAACAAGGAUUCUGUCUCGGAUGUGUGCGCUUGCUCGAGCCGGUAUCGAUUUAACGUCAGUUUCAUGUCAUAAAGACGUCAAACGCACGGUUUUCACCAGGACAACAUCCCCGGGCUGAAUUUACGAUCAGAGGCGAGCAACAGGUCCCGCGGGAACAGCGCUGCAGCAUACGAGAAAUCAGUGUCAUCAACGAAGAAUUGUCCAGAUACCAGUCUGUCAUUAUACAAUCAACAUCCAACAAAGACCUAGUUAUGUCAGGACAAAUUACCAAGAUCAAGUGAAACUACCAAUGUUAGCACAAAUUACUAAUAUCGGGACAAACUAUCCUUCGAUCAAUAGCAGCAAAAUACGCUCCUCGAGCGCACCCUCAAGCGUGAUAUAGCUGGAGGCGACCACCUGUUGCGCUCGCUCGUAAAUCUACCCCGGGGCUGUAAUCCUGGUAGGCUUGUCUCAGAAUGACGUCAUUGACGACCCUUUGACAGACAACUGACAUCUGCUGACGUAUCCGCGGGGUCUUCUGCUCGGCCCGUGUCAUCGAGACGAGCCAUUUCCUGGCGGAAAGUAUUCUUACGUGCUCGGUAAGGCCGGGGUGGGUCUUACCAACACACGUAGGCAAUAGGCUCUCAUCGGUGAGCAGGCCAUAAAUUCAUCUACUACCCGUCGUUGCUACCCUAGUAACUGCGAGCUUUCGUGACGUCACGCGACGCCUCGUGACGAACUGUUCUCGACAUAUCGACGGCUGUCGAUGUUCCACCCCCUGCGUCAGGAUGGACAGGAGGAAGCUCGAAAAAGCUGAUCAGCCUGCUGGACCACCGCGAGACACAUCGACGUCGACGACGACGUGGCGGGAAAGCUAUAAAUCCCUCAAACGUCUGCUGGUACCCUGGUGCUAGCAAGCUACUUGUGCCACCGUGACGAACGGAUGACUGACACUUCACUCCCCAGGAUUCACCCCCGACAUCCGGUCUUUUAACCGACCCAGACGCGUGAGCGAAAAAGAGGAGCGUACGUUCCUGAAGAACGGGAGAUAUAGACGUGAAGUAAGCAACAUGAAAAGAGAGAGAAGAUAAGAGAUAAAGUGUGGGACGAGGAAAAAGAGAUCAACACCGAUUAGAUAAGAAAGAAACGAACGUUAGGGUUCCACCCCAAUCCCCUCCGUGGGUGUCGCAACCUAGGAAGAUGCAAGACAAGGAGAAAAUCACCAUAGGAGAGCCACCUGGCACCAGUCGGGCGAAACUAAGUAGACUGUCGCUAUUGAACAAACCAAUGGAGCGCGUGGAUUUUGAAUCUCAGAAACCAAUCGUAACCAAGAAUGAAUCAACACGAACCAAUAGGAAUGAACGCACAGCAGUGUCACGCAUACGCAAAAACGAUGGAGUCGAAGAAGAAAGAAAUUUACUACGCAACAAGGGAAGAUAACCGUUAUAGAGAUAUCCACCAUUGAAGAUACAGAAAGUGAAAGAGAAUCUGGUGCCGAAAGCGUAGUUGAAUUUGAUAGGAGAAAAGAGAAGAAACAGGAGAUAAAUAAAUCUCUGAGACAAGAAUUAGUAUAACUAUGAUCAAUAAUUUCAGAUUUAAUUUUUAUGCAAAUAGUGCUUUCUUGUUGAUACAUUUAAAUGAUUUCCGACGUAUGUUAACACUCAAAUAUUUUUUUCAAAAUAAUUAUUACAAUGCAAGAGCCUGACCAUCUAUCGGAAAAAAUAUGUACGAUGCAUUCUUUCGAGAGGAUCGUGUUCGGCAUGCCUCGCGAGCUUCCAGGAACAGGCUAACAUCUACAACAGAAUAACUUGGGAAUCCUGGAAUACGUAGAAUUCCGAUUGCGUUUAGCGGAGCGAGCCACAGCUGCGGGGGUGGAAGAGAAAGUGACUGCGGAGACGAUCGAACGCCGCCAUUCCAAGUUCAAUUUUAAACGAGUCAAUAACAUCAAAAGCUUCGAAUACCCGGCUCGCAUCACCGCGAGGAGUUAUCUAUCCUCGGUGGAGGUGGAGCUGACCCGCGGUACUCGAGCCCCAUCUGUUGUAGAUAACAUUAUCAAUCGAUAAGAUAUCACAUUCACCAACUUAUAAAAUCAACUUCAAAACUAUGGAUUUUAGACAGUCACUAAACAAAACAAAAUAGAAAUAUUGUCGAAGAUGUGGAUCAGUCUUUUUAUAUGAAAAAAGUUGUUCUUUCUUUUAUUGAAAGAAGUCGU